rnacentral:sRNA from 1 species
GCUUGGGCGUGGUGGCACAUGCCUAUAAUCCUAGUUACUCAGGAGGCUGAGGCAGGAGUAUUGCAAGUUCAAGGGUAGCCUGGGCAACUUAGUGAGAUCCUGUCUCAA